AACGAACGCUGGCGGCAUGCCUAACACAUGCAAGUCGAACGGAUGCAGCAAUGCAUCAGUGGCAGACGGGUGAGUAACACGUGGGAAUCUACCCAGUAGCCUGGAAUAACCGCGGGAAACUGCGGCUAAUACCGGAUACGCCCCUCGGGGGAAAGGAGCAAUCCACUAUUGGAGGAGCCCGCGUCCGAUUAGCUAGUUGGUGGGGUAACGGCUCACCAAGGCGAUGAUCGGUAGCUGGAUUGAGAGAACGACCAGCCACACUGGGACUGAGACACGGCCCAUACUGCUACGGGAGGCAGAAGUGGGGAAUAUUGGACAAUGUGGGAAACCCUGAUCCAGCAAUGCCGCGUGGGUGAUGAAGGCCUUCGGGUUGUAAAGCCCUUUUGGCGGGGACGAUGAUGACGGUACCCGCAGAAGAAGCCCCGGCUAACUUCGUGCCAGCCGCCGCCGUAA
rnacentral:rRNA from 1 species